AACGCGAAGAACCUUACCUGGGCUUGACAUGAUCAGGAAAGACUCAGAGAUGAGUGCCCCCGCAAGGGCCUGACCACAGGUGCUGCAUGGCUGUCGUCAGCUCGUGUCGUGAGAUGUUGGGUUAAGUCCCGCAACGAGCGCAACCCUUAUCCCUAGUUGCCAUCGGGUCAAGCCGGGCACUCUAGUGAAACUGCCUCGGAUAACGAGGAGGAAGGUGGGGAUGACGUCAAGUCCUCAUGGCCUUUAUGUCCAGGGCUACACACGUGCUACAAUGGUCGGUACAAACCGUCGCAAACCCGUGAGGGGGAGCUAAUCGGAAAAAGCCGGCCUCAGUUCGGAUUGGAGUCUGCAACUCGACUCCAUGAAGCUGGAAUCGCUAGUAAUCGCGGAUCAGAACGCCGCGGUGAAUACGUUCCCGGGCCUUGUACACACCGCUGUA
rnacentral:rRNA from 1 species